rnacentral:rRNA from 1 species
CUAAAAAUCCCUCUAAAAGUGAAGAUAUUCCUAUGGUUUUUUAACAAAGGGGUGAUCUUAACUAGGGAUAACUUGGCAUGACAUAACUGGCAUGGUUGCAAAAAAUGUGUUUUCUGCCAUCAUGAUGAGUCCAUUAAACACUUAUUUUUUGAGUGCAAUUUUGCACAGUCGGUUUGGGCUAUUGUUCAGAUAGCGUAAAAUCUUUACCCCCCAUGUAGUGCAUGGAAUAUGUUUGGUAAUUGGUCGUGGGGAAUAGAUAAACAAUUUUCUACUCACAUCCUUGUGGGGACAGCCGCCUUAUGUUGGGCGAUGUGGCUCACCAGGAAUGAUAUACUUUUUAACCAUAAAUGCAUUCUAUCUCCUAUGCAGGUUAUUCAUAUAUGUUCGUGA